rnacentral:sRNA from 1 species
CUUCAGGCACUGGAGCAAUCGGUGGAGUAGGGAUACUUUGGCCGGUUUCAUCUACUCCGCCUCUAAAUCCAACAAAUCAGCAAAUCUCAUCCUUUUCACCCUGGUCAUUGCCUUUAUCAUCUCCUUUGUAAAUUUUUUGUUAAAUUCACAAUAUUAUAUACAAUUAGCCCGGUCGCUGUUCUAUGCAUGUCAUGAUCUUUUUAACAAAAAACACCUCCCGAUCACCGGGAAGUGUUUUUCGUGCUUGAAUUAAAAAUGGAGACCCCCCUCUUAGGGAAUCUCCAUUUUUU